rnacentral:rRNA from 1 species
AUGCAUGUCUAAGUUCACACCCUCGUACGGUGAAACCGCGAAUGGCUCAUUAAAUCAGUCGAGGUUCCUUAGAUGAUCCAAAUUUACUUGGAUAACUGUGGUAAUUCUAGAGCUAAUACAUGCCAACCAGCUUCGACCCGUCCCUUCUGGGGUCGGGAAAGAGCGCUUUUAUUAGUUCAAAACCAGUCGGGUUCUCACAAGGAGCUCGUCCGUUGGUGACUCUGGAUAACUUUUUGCCGAUCGCAUGGCCUCGAGCCGGCGACGCAUCUUUCAAAUGUCUGCCCUAUCAAAUGACGAUGGUACGUGAUCUGCCUACCAUGUUGGCAACGGGUAGCGGGGAAUCAGGGUUCGAUUCCGGAGAGGGAGCAUGAGAAACGGCUACCACA